rnacentral:piRNA from 1 species
UCUCUCGAAUUUUUGUUAGUGAGC